rnacentral:rRNA from 1 species
UACGAAGGGGGCUAGCGUUGUUCGGAAUUACUGGGCGUAAAGGGCUCGUAGGUGGCCAACUAAGUCAUACGUGAAAUCCCUCGGCUUAACCGGGGAACUGCGCCUGAUACUGGUUGGCUUGAGUUUGGGAGAGGGACGCGGAAUUCCAGGUGUAGCGGUGAAAUGCGUAGAUAUCUGGAGGAACACCGGUGGCGAAGGCGGCGUCCUGGACCAAUACUGACACUGAGGAGCGAAAGCCAGGGGAGCAAACGGG